CCCCCCCCCCCCCCUCACUCUUUUAUUAUCAUCUGUCAAAUAACCUUUAUCAAAAAAUAUUAUUUGUCAAAAUAACAGUCUUUUUAGGGGAAAAUUCUCCAUAAUUUCUUUUUCUGUCUCUGGGAGAGAGCUGGUUACAAUUUUAUUAAAAUGUUCCCUUUAGAGUUACUGAAGUUUCUUUUCUACUACAGACAAAGCUAGUGAAUUCGAUUUCCAAAGGUGCCCCUUGUAACUUUUUUCACCUAAAAAGCACAAUGAUUUCUGUUAACUUUAUCCUUUUUUUUGGGGUCUCAAGUGAAUUUUGCAUUUACUCUUAUACAAAUUAUGGGGUGGCCAGUACUAGUGCAUUCAACAAAGUUCUAGAAUGAUAUGCAUGAAUGUGCGUGGAUGUAGAGGACCACUCUUCUUUCAGUUGAAGAGCUUUCUUUGACUGCCUCCGUCCAACAUGUUCAGCUGAAUUCUUGUCUGAGUUAUGGCGCACUGCUUUUGGCGUCUCUUCUUACAAGUAUUCUACUGCAUCUGCACAAAUUUGAUCACUACAGUCCUCUUUCUGUCCCUCAUUUUAGCUGCCACUGCCAGCUUGUUACAUGGCGAGUUGAGUGCAGAUCAUCAUUUAUAUUGUAUACAGAAAUGAUUUGAGCGGAAAAAAAGGUGGUGCAUGUUCUCAAGAAUAUGCUCGCUUGCCUGUUGUGUUUUGUCCAAUAGAUUUCUUUUGGCACGUGAAAGUUACACUAUGGAAUUGCUUUUGUAGUUUUAAUAUCAGAUUUAAGGUUUACUUAUUUUUAUUUUCUAUUUCUAUUUUCUCGAA